CCCUGUCCUGUAACUUUGACCCGCACAAGGCUGGCUUCUCUUGGCUCUCAGCAGUCCUCUCUGACCUGUACGCUUAUUCCCCGGCUGCAAUGAUUGGCUCAGGGAGGCCAGUGAGACCCACUGACCUUUUCCUGGAGCAGGUAAUAGUGGCCUUCUGAAAUGAAUUUGGAAGUGUUUCCUCAUCUUCAGUUUUUUGGAAGAGCUUGAGAAGGAUCUGUGUUAAUACUUCUAGGUAAAAUACCAGACUUAACAUCAAAUGCUUAGAAGAGAAUGAUGUUACGUGGACAUGGAGAGUCUGAAGUCACCACAAACUUACUUAGCUUUGCAGAAAAUCAACCAUAAUAAAUCUCCUUCAGACAAAUCGCCCAGAAGUUGCACCUUCUAACCAGGUUGUCUCUGGAAGCUCUGCUACACAGAUAUGCUGAACGUCCAUCCCCUAGUACCCGUCUUAGCCCUCAUCUGUCAUCUCACAGACUGGGUGGCUGAGCAUCCUGAAGAUUCUGGUCUUCUGAAGAAGAGCUCAGGAAUCUGCAUCGAUAGGAAGCAUGGCAAGUUUGAAGCUCAGAGGAUCUGAUGUUCUCUAAUGUUUAUUCCUCCUCUAAAAUCUCAGUGGUAACUCAGCCACUGAGGCUACAUUCUUAGGAGAAUUUUCCAGUACAUUUUUAUUAUUUUUUAUAUAUAUAAUUAUUCUAGGAAAGGAGAAGUUAAGGUACUUUGUAGUUGGUCUUGGUGUACUUCUAGAGAGCGAGAUUGCUAAGUGGAAGUUCUCAUGGUGUUUCCUAUGUCAUUUCAAUGGCAUUUGACAAUUUGUAGCACGGGCCCAGUAGAGUUGUAAGCUCCAAAUGUAGUAAUUCCACUUGAUGUUAGAUUAUAAAAAGCUAUGUCUAUGUGGGGUAGAACCUGAAGACCUUCCAAGGAACAAUUAAUCUCACAAAAAAAUGAUUUGGAAACAAAAUAGUUAUGUAAAGUAAUUUUCUUUUAGUUAUUUAGAUCCUGUAUUAAUUCCUCGAACAUGUAUUUUUUAAAGUGCUUGCUAUGCUAGGAGCUGUGAAUAGGAUGAAGAGUUGCUUGGUCUCUUUAACCUAACUGUGUAUCACACUUCCUCAAAUCUUGUUCAGAAAGAGUCUGGGUAAAAUAAAGUCAAAAAGUCAAAUUGAAACAGAUUACAGAAUGUUCUCAUUAGGGACAGGAUCACUGUGCACACUUAUGUUAAUGGGCACAUGGAUGGGGAUGGUGUCAGCAGCAAGCUCUUGGAAUAUCAUCAGUUAUGAGAAGUCCAAAAUUCCUUGAAAGGCCAUAAGGAUGCUGUGUUACACCUUCAACUUGAAAUAAUCUUUGAAACCCAUUUUGUUGAAUCAGAGAGUCACCUGGCUAGGCUUACUAUUAAAGCAAAAAGAAGAGUUUUAAGUCCUUUACCUAAAUGCUCCCUUGCUCCCUCUUACCACUUUUUGGUUUUCCUAAUAACUUAAUUCUUAGGUCCCUCAGUUCUGUUCCUCAUUGGCUAUUUGCACUGUUCGUACCCUUAGAUAAUUAGUAUUUCAUUCUUUAGUCAUCAUCCACAGCCCAUACAUUUCAUUAUCAUUAUCUUAUCUUGGUACAAGGAACUCAUCUAAUUAUCCCUAUGUACUUCCCUUUGAAGAUGGUAUCAUGAUGUUAAUAAUUUGUUUCUCUUAUAACUGAAUAAAUUACCUAUAAAAUGGUUUCUA